rnacentral:lncRNA from 1 species
AAAAGAUAGGAAUAAAGAAAAAUAUAUUUCAAAUAUAAAAGUUGAACUGUUGUAUCAAGUGGUUGAUAGGUAUUUAUUACAUAACUAAUUACUAAUUUCAUUUAAUUAAUUCAUAAAAGUAUGUGUUAUUUUUUAGGAUUGUAGCACGGUUAGACGGACGUUUUUCAAAAAGUGAACAAAUUUUUGACAUAUUUAAUGUAUUUGGUUAUACAAAUGGUUACUUUUUUCAGGCAGAAUGUACUGCUAUUAAUGAAUUCUUAGACCAAUAUAAAAGUUCUCCAAUUAAUUCUUUAAGAGGACAUUAUACCCGCAUCUAUUGUCUCAGUUCAACUGCUGGGUAAUAUGCAAAAACAAUGUUUACGCAGAAUAAGUAAAACCGGCUAAAUUUUGAUUUUGAGGGAAAAGAGCCUAUUAUGAAAUUCAUAGAGAACAAUAUUUCAGAAAGAAUUUCAUAAGUUUUUUUUUGUAAUUAUAAACUAUUAAAAAAGUUACAGUUAUUUAAAAACCAAAAAAAAAAUUUUUUGUAAUUUUUAUAUCGAGCCGUACAUUUUGAAUAAUACAAAAACCCUACAACAUUUCCUCCAUAAUAUUGUUCUCUAUAAUUUUUAUAAUGAGUACUUUUACUCUAAAAUUGAAAUUAAGCUAGUUUUACUUAUUGUGCAUAUGCAUUGCAUUUGCAUAUCAACCGGUAGUUGGACUGAGACAGUAGAUGUGGGUAAAACGUCCUCUUAAGCCUGCCAUCAGAAUUUUCUUUAAUUAAGGCAACAUUUGAACUAGAAGACAUGUCCCAAUUAAAAUUAAAAUUAAUAUUUAAUAUUGUUUUAAAGCUACCGUUUGCAUUUCCUGAAAUCACAAAAAUAUUGUCUAUAAUGUUAACAUUACCAGUGACAACUGCAUCAAGUGAACGUUUCUUUCUUCACCAAAAUUGAUAAACAAUUUCUUGAGGACAUUAAUUGGUGCUGAAAGAUUAAAUGAUUUAAUGGUUCUUAGAAUUAAAACUGAAGAAGCAAAACACUUUAGUAAAUCAUUUUCACAAUAAUUUAACUAAUAUAUAUUUGAUUUUAAAAAGGCACAAUUUUAGAAUUUUCAUAAUUAAUUGACGAUUAUAAAAUUUGAUAUUACUUUUUUUGUCAUGAAAAUUGUAUUACUUAAAAGCCGAAGUAAGUUCAUAUAUAAAAUAAAUUAAUUUAUCCAUACUUUUCUUAGCUGUACAUUUAGGAUUGUAUCUAUGAUCUUCAUUUAAAAUUGAAAGGAUACUAUUUAGAAUUAUGCUGAUAAAAUAUUUCCUUCCUUUGUAAGAAGUACUGACAUUUUUCAAUAUUUAUAAAUCAACUAAACUAACCCUUUUCAGAAUACAAAUUUAUUGAGAAAAAAAAUUCCAUACUUCAUUAUAAAGAAAUAUAUACUUAUGGCUAUUUUUUGUUCAUUCUAAAAUAAUUUUUUGAUUGAAAUCAGUACAAUGUGUUGUUUUUUUUAAAUUUAAAAAUCAAUAACAGACAAUGUCAAUUUAAAAUCUUAAAAUUCCCAAAUUAUUUCAAUUUAAAUUAGUUGAAUUAUAGUAAAUAUGAUAAAUAAAAUGUCCUUAAAUCAAAUCAAUCAUUUAUUAAAUAUAAUAAAAAUGUAUUCAUAUUCUUUAGAUGGUUUGUAUAUGAGUUGGUAUUUUUAUAUUAGAUUUAUACGAAAAUAUUAUAUAUUAGGAGACAGACAUUGAAUAAUACACCUUAUAUACCUUAUACUGAUAGUCCAAUCUGUUUUAUUUGUUGUCAAUGAUAUUUUUAUAAUUUCAUAACUUGAUAUUGUGUAAUGUGUAUAUAUGUAUUAAGUAUACAAAUUUUUCAGCAAUUUCCUAAAUAUUUGGUAUUUUUAACUAAUCUAUAACUAUUAGUGAAAGAUGUAUAGAUACAAUCAUUUUGAUUUGUUUGUAUUAAACAAGAUUUCUCAAUAUUGAUUAUGUUGAUAACACAUAUGUGUCUUUUGUAUAAAGUUUUGACAUUUUUCUGUGUUUUAAUUAAGCAUAUCUGUUUGGGUAAUACAAUUUACAUUAUUAUAGAAAUUAAUAUCAAAUUUUAUCAUUAGCAAAAAUACAGUUUAAAAUAUUUUGUGUUCAUUGAACCUAAUUCAAAAUUGCUUUGAAUAUCUCAAAUGUAUAACUUAAGUAUAUCAAUGUAAAAAAGGUAAAUUAUACAUUUAUUUAAUUAUAUAUUAAAAUAUUUUAAGAAAAUAUAGCUCAUAUUUUGUAAAUGAUCUCUAAAUGUUUAGUGUAUUUAGAAAUGAAAUUUAUGAGUUAAGUCAUUUAUAUUUUUUCUUUUAUUUAUUUAUAUGAAACAAGAUUUUUGAAAAAAAAUUCUGUUGAUAGUGUAAAUCUAUCAUUAGUAUUAUAUACUGUCAUUAUUUUAUGUAUAUAGUUCAACUUACACCUUUGAGAGAUGUGUUAAAUAUAAAUAUAAAUAAAAAUUAUUAAUGUUAUUCUCCAUAAAUAUUAUAUUUAUGUAGGAAAAAAAUCUAUAAACAAAAAUCUAUUUAGGGACUAUUUAAGAAAUAUGAGUACAAAUGUCUUAUAAUUUAAUUAUAUUAAUUUAGGAUAUCAAUAUAUAGAUUGGUCUUCUAAUACUUUCACUUAUUAAAAUUUAAAUGGUUAAAGUAUAAAUUUGAGACUUUCAUAAUAAAUUGAUAUUAGGUUUUAUUGAAUUGUUAAUAUUAAAAUAAAAUAUACACAUCAAAACUUGUCUUAUCAUAAUACAAUUUCCUAUCACAAUGAAGAAGAUAACAUGUUUUGGAAAGGUAAAGAAAUCAUUAUGAAGAUUAAUCAAAUAUAAUUAAUUGUUUUAUUAAUUUUGUAUACUUAAAAUGGGUACCUUAAUUAAAAUUAUUUAUAAUUUGUACUUAAAAGAGUAUUACACAUUUUACAUAAUCUUUGUUCUAAAUUUGUAUUUAAAUCUCACUAUAUAACAUAGUGUAUAAAAUAUUGACUAUUUGGAUAAAUCACUGGGAAUAAAUUAUAACUAACAUUGUAUACUUAUAAUAGGUACCUUUAUUAAAAUUAUUUAUAAUUUGUACUUUAAAGAGUAUUACACAUUUUACAUAAUCCUUGUUCUAGAUUUGUAUUUAAAUCUCACUAUAUAAUAUAGUGUAUAAAAUAUUGACUAUUUGGAUAAAUCACUAGGAAUAAAUUAUAACUAACAUAUACCUACAUUGCAUAUACACUCAGUUUUACAAUAAACAUUCAGUAAAUCAAUAUACUUAUUGACAAACCAAGACACAUCAUCCAAGUUUAAAUAAUCUGAAAAACAAAAUCAUAAAAUUUGUACUUUAUUGAUAAGAAUUUAUCUUAUUUAAAAAAAAUAAAAGUAUUUAUAGUUAAUACUCAAAUUAAAAUACUAGAAACUAGAAAAAGACAUUCAGUAUAUCAAUAUACUUAUUGACAAACCAAAACACAUCAUCCAAGUUUAAAUAAUCUGAAAAACAAAAUCAUUAAAUUUGUAUUUUAUUGAUAAAAAUUAAUCUUAUUUAAAAAAAAUAAAAGUAUAAAUAGUUAAUACUCAAAUUAAAAUACUAGAAACUAGAAAAAGAAUAUUUUAACAAGAUUUAUAUACACUAAUAUAAGUGAGAAUAAACAACGUAAAUACUAUAAUAGAUAAAAUAUUAUAUUAUUUUAAAAAAUAAGAAUAAAAAAUAGCAUUUUCAUUUCCUAUAAGACAAAUUAUUACUAGAACAAAUCCAAAAUAAUAAAAAUGUUAUUGGCAUAAACUUUCAUAU